rnacentral:rRNA from 1 species
GACGAACGCUGGCGGCGUGCUUAACACAUGCAAGUCGAACGGAAAGGCCCCUUUAGCGGUCCUCGACUGGCGAACGGGUGAGUAACACGUAAGUAAACUGCCCUUGCUUUUUUGACAACGUCAGUAAAGUGGGGCUACUACCGCAUAGGCAUCCUUGCUCCAUGGGGGGGGUUGGAAAGCUUCGGCGGCUUUGGAGGGACUCGCCGCUCAUCAGCUUGUUGGUGGGGUAGUGGCUUACCAAGGCUUUGACGGGUAGCCGGCCUGAGAGGGCGACGGGACAGACUGGGACUGUGAGAGGGCCAAGACUGGGAAGGGAGGGAGAAGGGGCGAAGGUUGCACAAAGGGAGGAAGCGUGAUGCAGCAAGGCCGCGGGGGGGAAGACGGCCUUCGGGGUGUAAAACAAGUAGAGGAGGAACGAAGCGUGUGGUGACGGUACCUGAAGAAGAAGAAACGGCUAAAUACGGG